rnacentral:rRNA from 1 species
AACGAACGCUGGCGGCGUGCCUAACACAUGCAAGUCGAGCGCGAAUGGAGCAAUCCUAGUAGAGCGGCGCACGGGUGCGUAACACGUGGGUAAUCUGCCUGGAAGAUGAGGAUAACCAGUCGAAAGACUGGCUAAUACUCGAUAAGCCCACGGGGACUUCGGUCCCUGAGGGAAAAGGUGGCCUCUGUAUACAAGCUAUCACUUCCAGAUGAGCCCGCGGCCCAUCAGCUAGUUGGCGGGGUAAUGGCCCACCAAGGCAACGACGGGUAGCUGGUCUGAGAGGACGAUCAGCCACACUGGAACUGAGACACGGUCCAGACUCCUACGGGAGGCAGCAGUGGGGAAUUUUGCGCAAUGGGCGAAAGCCUGACGCAGCAACGCCGCGUGUGUGAUGAAGGUCUUCGGAUUGUAAAGCACUUUCGACCGGGACGAAAACCCCUUGGCUAACAUCCAGGGGCUUGACGGUACCGGGAGAAGAAGCACCGGCUAACUCUGUGCCAGCAGCCGCCGUAAGAC